CACCCUCAACGCCCCACCCUCCCUUUUUCAUCUCGCUUUUUUUUUUAUUUUUUCCAAUUCUUCCCGCUUUCUCUCUCUGGUUUUGCUCGGCUUGAAUGAGGCAAAAUGUAGAGUGUUCGGCAUAAAGAUACUUUCGCUC
rnacentral:ribozyme from 1 species